rnacentral:rRNA from 2 species
GGUAUUGAUUGGUGCUCGCAUCAUGAUUUACAUUUGAGUGAGUGGCGAACUGGUGAGUAACACGUGGGAAACCUGCCCAGAAGCGGGGGAUAACACCUGGAAACAGAUGCUAAUACCGCAUAACAACUUGGACCGCAUGGUCCGAGUUUGAAAGAUGGCUUCGGCUAUCACUUUUGGAUGGUCCCGCGGCGUAUUAGCUAGAUGGUGGGGUAACGGCUCACCAUGGCAAUGAUACGUAGCCGACCUGAGAGGGUAAUCGGCCACAUUGGGACUGAGACACGGCCCAAACUCCUACGGGAGGCAGCAGUAGGGAAUCUUCCACAAUGGACGAAAGUCUGAUGGAGCAACGCCGCGUGAGUGAAGAAGGGUUUCGGCUCGUAAAACUCUGUUGUUAAAGAAGAACAUAUCUGAGAGUAACUGUUCAGGUAUUGACGGUAUUUAACCAGAAAGCCACGGCUAACUACGUGCCAGCAGCCGCGGUAAUACGUAGGUGGCAAGCGUUGUCCGGAUUUAUUGGGCGUAAAGCGAGCGCAGGCGGUUUUUUAAGUCUGAUGUGAAAGCCUUCGGCUCAACCGAAGAAGUGCAUCGGAAACUGGGAAACUUGAGUGCAGAAGAGGACAGUGGAACUCCAUGUGUAGCGGUGAAAUGCGUAGAUAUAUGGAAGAACACCAGUGGCGAAAGCGGCUGUCUGGUCUGUAACUGACGCUGAGGCUCGAAAGUAUGGGUAGCAACAGGAUUAGAUACCCUGGUAGUCCAUACCGUAACGAUGAUGCUAGUGUUGGAGGGUUUCGGCCCUCAGUGCUGCAGCUACGCAUAGCAU